GCACUGCAGCCACUGGGAAUGGACCUGGAGGGCUGUGGCUUUAGUGGGGGCCCCUGGACUGCACGCUGCGUGCAGUUGGCAUUCUUCACCUGUGCUUCUGAGUUACCUCUUCCAGUUCUGUUUUGUACAAAAGGAAUCCAGUUCGCACACCUGGGGCCUGCUCUGUGAUACAAAGUGCAGCAUGAGCCUGUCAUACAGAAGUACCAUUUUACAGAGCACAGACACAGAGAGAAUUAAUGAUGUGCAUAAGUCUGCGUAAGGAAAUAUGUUACAGAACUGAUCUUGGGUUUUCUCAGCUUACGAUGUUUAGUCACUGGACUGGCUCUCCUCGUGCUCUGCAGCACAGUUACAUUCCUUUCUUGCUGUGGCUCUUGGUCAUCCCAUCCAGCACAUCCAAGGAGGCUGCCACAGAUACAGUGAUCAGAAGUUCCAGCAAGAAGACCCUUAUUGACCACGUUUUCUCCUUGCAUCCUGAGUUACAGAAUGGUUGGUUGUACACCUGCCUUUGUGAAGUCAGCUGGAGCUCAAAAGUUGGUUGUACUGAGCUUGGACACCACAUUCAGACCAAAGCUAAUCUGCACGUUUUUGAUUACUGCUCCUCAGGACUAGGACUGUGUCUUUUCUGCCUGCGCACCUCCACCAGGUGGAGGAUACAGACUUGA
rnacentral:lncRNA from 1 species